rnacentral:antisense_RNA from 1 species
UGUGGGAGCGGGCUUGCCCGCGAUAGCAGUCUGUCAGUCGGCAUCAUUGCUGGACCUGACUUCGCCAUCGCGGGCAAGCCCGCUCCCACA